CCUACGGGAGGCAGCAGUGAGGAAUAUUGGUCAAUGGACGAGAGUCUGAACCAGCCAAGUAGCGUGAAGGAUGACUGCCCUAUGGGUUGUAAACUUCUUUUAUAAAGGAAUAAAACGCGGCACGUGUGCCUUUUUGCAUGUACUUUAUGAAUAAGGAUCGGCUAACUCCGUGCCAGCAGCCGCGGUAAUACGGAGGAUCCGAGCGUUAUCCGGAUUUAUUGGGUUUAAAGGGAGCGUAGAUGGGUUGUUAAGUCCGUUGUGAAAGUUUGCGGCUCAACCGUAACAUUGCACUUGAUACUGGCAGUCUUGAGUACAGUUGAGGUAGGCGGAAUUCGUGGUGUAGCGGUGAAAUGCUUAGAUAUCACGAAGAACCCCGAUUGCGAAGGCAGCUUACUAAAGUGUAACUGACAUUGAUGCUCGAAAGUGUGGGUAUCGAACAGGAUUAGAUACCCUUGUAGUC
rnacentral:rRNA from 1 species